GAUCCUGGCUCAGGAUGAACGCUAGCUACAGGCUUAACACAUGCAAGUUGAGGGGCAGCAUGGUCUUAGCUUGCUAAGGCCGAUGGCGACCGGCGCACGGGUGAGUAACGCGUAUCCAACCUGCCUUACACUCUUGGACAGCCUUCUGAAAGGGAGAUUAAUACAAGAUGUUAUCAUGGGUAAGCAUUUUCGCAUGAUUAAAGGUUUACCGGUGUAAGACGGGGAUGCGUUCCAUUAG
rnacentral:rRNA from 1 species